GUUCGCUUGGCCUAGUGGUUAGGGCAUAUGCUUUACAGGAUCUAUACUCGACGUCUGAUCGCAUAGGAUCGCAGGUUCGAUCCCUGCAGUGAACA